GUGGGAUGAGUUGGGCACAAUGUGCACAAAUCAUGGGCAGAGAUGUGUGUGUGCUACUAAAAAUGGAAUAAUUGAGGAAGAUGAUGAAAACAAGGUAUUCCAGUUUCUUAUGGGGUUAAAUGAAGCAUACAUGGGGGUUAGGAGUAAUCUGUUAUUAUGGGGUUAAAUGAAGCGUACAUGGGGGUUAGGUGUAACUUGUUGAUGAUGCAGCCAUUUCCUUCCCUUGACAGUGUUUACAAUGUAGUGCUUAAUGAUGAGAAACAGAGACAAGUUCAAUCUAUUUCUCAAAGCAGUCCAGACUCUAUGUCUUUUAAUGCUAAUACAAAUAAGCACUCAGUUGGGUUUAAUCAGGGCACAGUGCCCAGUCCCCCUGUUUUCAGACCCAGACUUAGUUUUGAGCAAAGUAGAGGGCCAUUAUUUUGCAGAUACUGCAAGAAAUCUGGGCACUUAAUUGAUAAGUGCUAUAAGAUUCAUGGG
rnacentral:lncRNA from 1 species